UAUAAUUUUGUGUACUGUGUCCAGUGUUUACAGAGAAAUACUGCACUGAAAACAGAAUAGAGAAGUUGCCCGGGCCACGAGACUGGGUCCAGAUCCUUCAAGAUCAGAUCAAACUUGCCAGGAGGAGGCUGAAAAGAGAUGCUGCAGAAGCAGAAGAAGUCUUAAAUGGGCCUUCCACAAGAUGUGACUAUAACAGGCCUGUCCGUGUGGAGGGGACGGUGGUGAACAUGACUGGUUGACUUCAAAGGUUG
rnacentral:lncRNA from 1 species